AAACCGUUAAAUUCGGCAUUUUUGCAGCACCAUUUCUUUCUUUGACGUGUCUUUUUUAAAGGACCCGGAGCCGGAAGUGCUUACCUUUUCCCUGCCAGGACCCAGAGGUUACCUCCCAUCAGCACCGGCGCUCUCUUGUCCACUGUCUCUUUCUUGGCGCUUCUUUUUCUGGCUCGAAGGCAUCAUGGCCGCCCUCAGACCCCUUGUGAAGCCCAAGAUCGUCAAAAAAAAGAACCAAGAAGUUCAUCCGGCACCAGUCAGACCGAUAUGUCAAAAUUAAAGUAUAUGGCCCUGGAAUGGAAAUAGGUGUGGGGUGAAGAAAGAAGUUUCCAACAGGCUGUUGGUUUCUGACAUCACCUAGUCGGGAUUACCUUUGACCAAUGAACUGGUUUGUGGAAGAGCUUUCUGUAGAAAUACAGGUCUCCCCCAGUGUGCCCUAGUGCUGGUCUCAAGUCUCUUGGUGUAUGAAGUGAAAUUUAAAUGAGAAGGGACACUUGGCUGUUUCGAUGUGUUUAGAGGGCUUUGCAUUUGUGUUGUGUAUUUUGGGUUGCCUUAUUGACAGCAGGAUCCCUGUUUUAUAGACAGGAAAACUCAGAGGUGCUGAGAGCAGUGUCUGCAGCUGUGCUCGCCAUCUCAGUAUCUACACAGUCCCCUCUUAUCCCACUGGUGCCUCCUCCAUUGCUUGGGAGUAGGAAUGGUGGGGGUGCCUGCAUUCCUAAUGGCUAAAGCCAAGAGCUCCUGGUUUUUCCCACCAAAAAAGCAUGUAAGGAAAUAGUGAAGUCCUGUUACCAAAGGCAACUACUGUGUGGCAUACUUCCUUUUCAUUUGGUUCUUUUUUCCCUCCCCAAAGGAACAGUUGGCACUCUGCACAGACGCUAACCCACCUGUGUGUUAUUUCCUUCAGCGUAACUGGCGGAAACCCCGAGGGAUUGACAACAGGGUUUGUAGAAGGUUCAAGGGCCAGAUCUUGAUAUGAUGUCCAGCAUUGGUUAUAGGAGCAAAAAAAACCAGAAAGCACAUGCUGCCCAGUGGCUUCCGGAAGUUCUUGGUCCACAACGUCAAGCAGCUGGGAGUGCUGCUGAUACACAACAAGGACAUUCAGAGGCCUUUGGCCGUUGCCCAACGUCCUGAGGCCAGAGAGCAGUGGAGUGAGCGUCGUGGUCCACAGGCUGUCCCGCCCACAUGCUCAGGAUUCAGGGACUCACCGUAGGAAGAGGCGGAGAAGACGAAGGGCUGGCGGCAGUUGAUGCAGACGUUGCCCAGGUUGUUGAGCAGCGGGUUGUUGGUGGAGCAGCGGUAGCACAAUGGCACCAGUUCCUACAAAACAGCCACGGACUCCCGAGGGGCCAGGCACGUGUCCUCCUCCCCCUGGACUCUGGCUUCGGGCCCCUGGGGCUUAGCUGCCAAGAGGAAAGGCCACCCAGGUGGGCAGGCAGGGAAGGGUGCCAGGCCCCGGGGCCCCAUGCUGUGGGGAAGCAGGAUAAAGGUUUGCUGAAAUACCUAAAUCCUGUCACUUAGGUCCCUAAGAGGUGGGCACGAUUAUUUCCAUCUCUCAGAUGAGAAUAAAGUCUAGGGGGAAGGUGAAGCACCCAGCCCAAGACUCAGCAGCCAGGAAGUAGCCCGGCGCUCUUUCCACCACAGGUGCAGGAAUUCUCACAGAAAAGUGGAGGCCAAGAUGUGAGAAUUCCUCAAUGACUGCCCUUUAAAGGAAGAGGUGAUUGUGGGGCCUGCUCUGAGCUCUAGACACAGGCAAGCUCCGUGUCUCCCAAGGAACCCAAUCACUAUCACAUUUGCUUUAAAUAUUUAGAGAAGCACAAUUUGUUUCCUUGUCAAAGCCAAGAGGUGGCAUGUGAUGACAUGCUGCCAAAUGCUUGGGGCACAGAUGGAAACUUUCAUGUCAAUCCUGACAUGGUCACCACAGAUCUCGAUGGCCUUGACGUGCUCUCCUGCUGAGAUGUACAUCUCCACGGCGGCUUUGGGCUCCUUGAUAUUUCUGGCCCAGUCAGCCUGUUUGGUGAUUAGCAUCUUUGUUUCUUUGGGGUCUCCAGAUCCAAGGAAAUCCUGAGGAAGCACAACAAACAAAAACACUCUGGAUCAGAACUUCCUGUGCCAGCGUUACAUCAGGCUUUUCUAGCAGCAAGGGCAGGCUCCACAUGGCUGAAGCAGGCAACCAGGAGGCAGGCAGGGCCCGUCCCUGAGGGGCUGAGUAGGGGGAGUCCCAGGUCUCGGGAAGAGUGAUCUCAGGCUGCCCUGCAGGUGUUCCUGGGGGAUCCUGGGACAGCGUCAAGGACACUGGCCCCCAGUGCUUCCUUCCCAUCUCACAAAUGGGCAUUUGUUCAUCGGCUAAACGACACUUUCUAGACUAUUUGGGGCCCUGCACAUGAAGUCUGCAGGCUCAGGGGUUCAUGAUCAGGCUGUCUCUCUCUCACAUAGUUUGGUAAAUACAUGAUUAUUCCUAAACAGCAAUGAGACAACCUGGUGCACAAUUCCAAAUAUCGAGACCUGUCACCUUUACUCAGAUCUUAUGGGUGACACAACAUGCUUCAGAGUGGGCUGAGCAUGGGUUCCCCUAAACUUACACAAACAAAAUGACUUAUAGUUUGCCAGCCCUCCAUGCCCUCUCUGAAUCACCAGCAAACAUUCUGUGCCCCGAACUAGGGAAUCAUUGCAUGGUCUUUGCCCCAGUUACUUGCCUGGAACAGAAAAUAAGCAAACCUCUCUCUGGUUAGCUGCUUCUCAGCUGAACGGUUAGGGAUCCUGUCCUGAGGUCAGGUCUGCAGGGGUGAGGACCUGAUCCGACAGUGGGACAGCAGGAGACCAUGGGGGGAUCUGAGGCAGGGAAGGUGCUCAGGAGAGGACCUGAGAAGGAAGAGACGACUGUGGUCCUGGAGGCUCAGGGGUCAGGCCUAGAGCCUGUGUUCCUUUGGCCUCAGCAAGGGCCCUCUGAAGCGGUAUGCCCAGCUUCUCUGGGCUGGCCAUAGAAUGUGUGAAAAACAGCCUCAGAACAUCACCUCUUUUCACGGUAGUUACCCAAAAUACACAUGUGGGAGUUUGCCAGAGUCGAGGCAGCUUUUAAAGGUGGAGCUUUUCAAAAAGGGAAACUGGGAGCCCUUAGAGCCCAGGUCUAUGUUACUGGUAAGAAGUGGUUUGUCUUAGGAAUAAUGUACCCUGCAGAGAGUGCUUUGUGUCAGCCUCAUUGAGAAUAAAAAAAGCACUCCUUUCCCCAUGAUUAACGCUCAUGUGUCAGGAAAGUGCAGUCAAUGUAUGCUAAAAAUCCACUUGAACAAUUAGCUCGCUUUUUUUCAUUUGCUUUCAGGGUAAUUGUGCUUUCAGGGUAUUAGGUCGGCCUAAUAUAUGAUACAUUUUAAGAAGGGGAGGAAAGAGCAUUGUAUACCCUGAUGCUGGGAUCCAAUAGAAGACAGACCUCCUGGCUGGCCUUUGGUUCUCCCAGGAGCUGACACAGGGAAGGGGCUUGGAAAGCAGCCACUGUCCCCGCCUAGUUUGGGCCUUUACAGACACACCUCUCCUUUUGGCAGCUGCUAUGGCGCGGAUUCUGUACGCUAGCACGAAGCUGGAAACCCUGCCUACCUGGCUGGUGAAGUGAGGGUGGCAGCUGGGGGAAACAGGCAUCUUCAAAGGGACUUCAGUGAGUGCUCAGGGGACUAGGGGUGACUGCAGCAAGGGUGAGAGGCUGAGAGGAAGCCAUAAGCCUAGGCCAGCUGGCCACUCAGGGAGCUGUGACUUCAAUGAAGCUGGGUCUAAAAGCUUCCUUCAAGGCUCAGCAAACUGGGAAUUCAAAGACUUUUUGCUUUCCUGAAGCUAAGUUACACGUUAUCUGGGGCCAUGGCAAAGACUUGGCCCUGAAGUGGACAGAAAGAGGCUGUGCUGAGUGAUGAAUGAGACUAAACAGUGUUCUCAUGCUUGGUGAUUUUGAUAAGAACAUACUACAUAAGAGUUAAGAGCAUUAUAAUUCCUUUUAUCACCA